UUAAGAGAUUUAGUUUCAUUUAAAAUAUAGGGUUGUCAUUCCUAAGAAGUCCUUUGGGCACUC
rnacentral:tRNA from 1 species